rnacentral:rRNA from 1 species
AUGCAAGUCGAACGCUGAAGCCUGGUGCUUGCACUGGGUGGAUGAGUGGCGAACGGGUGAGUAACACGUGAGUAACCUGCCCUUGACUUCGGGAUAAGCCCGGGAAACUGGGUCUAAUACUGGAUAUGACCUCCUGCCGCAUGGUGGGGGGUGGAAAGAUUUAUCGGUUGGGGAUGGACUCGCGGCCUAUCAGUUUGUUGGUGGGGUAAUGGCCUACCAAGACGACGACGGGUAGCCGGCCUGAGAGGGUGACCGGCCACACUGGGACUGAGACACGGCCCAGACUCCUACGGGAGGCAGCAGUGGGGAAUAUUGCACAAUGGGCGCAAGCCUGAUGCAGCGACGCCGCGUGAGGGAUGACGGCCUUCGGGUUGUAAACCUCUUUCAGUAGGGAAGCAGCCCUUUUUGGGUGACGGUACCUGCAGAAGAAGCGCCGGCUAACUACGUGCCAGCAGCCGCGGUAAUACGUAGGGCGCGAGCGUUAUCCGGAAUUAUUGGGCGUAAAGAGCUCGUAGGCGGUUUGUCGCGUCUGCUGUGAAAGCCCGGGGCUUAACUCCGGGUGUGCAGUGGGUACGGGCAGGCUAGAGUGCAGUAGGGGAGACUGGAAUUCCUGGUGUAGCGGUGGAAUGCGCAGAUAUCAGGAGGAAACACCGAUGGCGAAGGCAGGUCUCUGGGCUGUUUAACUGACGCUGAGGAGCGAAAGCAUUGGGGGAGCAAAACAGGAUUUAGGAUACCC